rnacentral:rRNA from 1 species
GAUGAACGCUGGCGGCGUGCUUAAUACAUGCAAGUCGAGCGAACAGACGAUGAUUUUGCUCCUCUGACGUUAGCGGCGGACGGGUGAGAAACACGUGGAUCACCUACCUAUAAGACUGGGAUCACUUGGGGACACCGGAGCAAAUCCCGGAUAAUCUCUUGAACCGCAUGGUUGAAUAGUAAAAGACGGUUUUGCUGUCUCUUCUAGAUGGAUCCGCGCCGCUUUAGCUAGUUGGUACGGUAACGGCUUACCAAGGCGAGUAUGCGUAGGCGACCUGAGAGAGGGGUAGGCGACAUGGGAAGGUGGACACGGACCAGACGCCUACGGGAGGCAGCAGUAGGGAAUGGUCCGCAAAGGGCGAAAGCAUGGCGGAACGACGCCACGUGAGUGAUGAAAGUGCUCGGAGCGGAAAACUCGGUUAUGAGUGAAGAACAAAUGUGUAAGGAACUGUGCACGGCUUGACGGUACCGAGUCAAAAAGCCACGGCUAACUACGUG